rnacentral:rRNA from 1 species
CACGUAGGGGGCAAGCGUUGUCCGGAUUUAUUGGGCGUAAAGAGCUCGUAGGCGGCUCGGUAAGUCAGGUGUGAAACCUCCAGGCUCAACCUGGAGACGCCACCUGAUACUGCUGUGGCUAGAGUCCGGUAGGGGAGCGUGGAAUUCCUGGUGUAGCGGUGAAAUGCGCAGAUAUCAGGAGGAACACCAGCGGCGAAGGCGGCGCUCUGGGCCGGAACUGACGCUGAGGAGCGAAAGCGUGGGGAGCG